UUCUUUUACCCUUACUCCAGAGCCGUAUUGCCUGUCCAGGAACACAGCCUAACUGGCUGUAAGAAACCCAUCCUUUCAGAGAGAAGAAAUCACUUGUCUUUGUUGUGUCUGGUCCCAGGAAGCUUUGGAACUUAGACCCGCCUACAGUGUGAAGAUGGAACCAGUCAAUUUCCUACACUGGGAACUUCUCCUCCCUGAAGAGUGGGGUCAGCUUGGGGGUGGGGCCAAUCUCACAAGAAACAGAUGCCACUAAAACACGCACUCGUGGAGUGGAGACAUGCCUCAGGUCUGCACACGGCAGAAAGAGGAUGCUCCCUACCCACUCCUGACCACUGCAGAGGCCCCCCGGAACCAUAAAUAGCUGUCCUCUACGG